rnacentral:rRNA from 1 species
AGCUCCAGUAGCGUAUAUUAAAGUUGUUGCAGUUAAAAAGCUCGUAGUUGGAUCUCGGGUCCGGGCUGGCGGUCCCGUUCGCGCGGGCACUGCCUGUUCCCGACCUACCUGCCGGCACGUCCCUCGGUGCUCUUCACUGAGUGCCCCGGGUGGCCGGCGCGUUUACUUUGAAAAAAUUAGAGUGUUCAAAGCAGGCCGCCGUGCCUGAAUACCGAUGCAUGGAAUAAUGGAAUAGGACCUCGGACUUCUAUUUUGCUGGUUUUCGGAUCUCGAGGUAAUGAUUAAGAGGGACGGCCGGGAUCGUUAGUAUUACGGUGUUAGAGGUGAAAUUCUUGGAUCGCCGUAAGACUGCCUGUUGCGAAAGCGUUCGACAAGAGCGUUUUCA